CACCGCGGUUAUACGAGAGGCUCAAGUUGACAAAGAUCGGCGUAAAGAGUGGUUAAUAAAUUUUAAACUAAAGCCAAACACCUUCAAGGCCGUCAUACGCUCCCGAAGGCAGGAAGAUCUUUAACGAAAGUGGCUUUAACCCAUUAUGAACCCACGAAAGCUAGGACA
rnacentral:rRNA from 1 species